rnacentral:rRNA from 1 species
UGGGGAAUUUUGGACAAUGGGCGCAAGCCUGAUCCAGCAAUGCCGCGUGCAGGAUGAAGGCCUUCGGGUUGUAAACUGCUUCUGUACGGAGCGAAAAGGUCUGCCCUAAUACGGUGGGCUCAUGACUGUACCGUAAGAAUAAGCACCGGCUAACUACGUGCCAGCAGCCGCGGUAAUACGUAGGGUGCGAGCGUUAAUCGGAAUUCCUGGGCGUAAAGCGUGCUCAGUCGGUUAUAUAAGACAGAUGUGAAAUCCCCAGCCUCAACCUGGGACCUGCAUUUGUGACUGUAUAGCUAGAGUACGGUAGAGGGGAAUGGGAUUGCGCGUGUAGAAGUGAAAUGCGUAGAUAUGCGGAGGAACACCGAUGGCGAAGGCAAUCCCCUGGACCUGUACUGACGCUCAUGCACGAAAGCGUGAGGAGCAAACA